GAUGAACGCUGGCGGCGCGCCUAACACAUGCAAGUCGAACGGCACCCCUCUCCGGAGGGAAGCGAGUGGCGAACGGCUGAGUAACACGCGGAGAACCUGCCCCCUCCCCCGGGAUAGCCGCCCGAAAGGACGGGUAAUACCGGAUACCCCGGGGUGCCGCAUGGCACCCCGGCUAAAGCCCCGACGGGAGGGGAUGGCUCCGCGGCCCAUCAGGUAGACGGCGGGGUGACGGCCCACCGUGCCGACAACGGGUAGCCGGGUUGAGAGACCGACCGGCCAGAUUGGGACUGAGACACGGCCCAGACUCCUACGGGAGGCAGCAGUGGGGAAUCUUGCGCAAUGGGGGGAACCCUGACGCAGCGACGCCGCGUGCGGGACGGAGGCCUUCGGGUCGUAAACCGCUUUCAGCAGGGAAGAGUCAAGACUGUAC
rnacentral:rRNA from 1 species